AACACUUACAGUUUACAGCAGAUAUUAUCAUGUUUUCAGUGAAGGUGAACUUGAAAGGUUAGUGUCUAGCGUGAAUGGCGCUGUAAUUGUUGACAGAUUUUAUGA